CAUGUGGGAAGCGGGAUCUCUCCAAACACAGCCCAGGGMCUUUCCUCCAAGAUGAAGCUCCAGGAUCUCAGAUGCUGCUGUAGGAAGUUUUAUCCAAAACUCUCCACUCUGAAACAUUGCCCUACUAAGGCUUGGAGAAACCAGCGUGAUAGACUGCACAAACCCUCUUAAAUCUAUUUUUAAUCAGAAGGGUUUGCAGGUUAAAAUAAAUAUGAUGGAGCCAGUGGCCAAUUUGGAACAUGGGACUGUUCCAGCUCAGCAUUCCGCUGGUCUUCGAGCUCUGCGUGCGGUUCUCCGGCUAUGGGAGCGUUGCUUUCAUUUAUCACACUCCCAAACUUCCACUCUGGAGCAGUAACAAACAGCUUUCACAGCCCCAGAGAGGGACGUGUCCAUCCCCAGAGCGAGCC